rnacentral:rRNA from 1 species
CAGUAGCCACGGGAAAACGAAGGGGGCUAGCGUUGUUCGGAAUUACUGGGCGUAAAGGGCGCGUAGGCGGCCAUUCAAGUUAGAUGUGAAAGCCCUGGGCUCAACCUGGGGGCUGCAUUCAAUACGUGCGGGCUUGAGUGUGGAAGAGGGUUGUGGAAUUCCCAGUGUAGAGGUGAAAUUCGUAGAUAUUGGGAAGAACACCGGUGGCGAAGGCGGCAACCUGGUCCAUAACUGACGCUGAGGCGCGAAAGCGUUGGGAGCAAACAGGAUUAGAUACCCCCGUAGUCCCUGUCUCUUAUAC